rnacentral:rRNA from 1 species
GACGAACGCUGGCGGCGUGCUUAACACAUGCAAGUCGAACGGAAAGACCCUGCUUUUGUGGGGUGCUCGAGUGGCGAACGGGUGAGUAACACGUGAGUAACCUGCCCUUGACUUUGGGAUAACUUCAGGAAACUGGGGCUAAUACCGGAUAGGAGCUCCUGCUGCAUGGUGGGGGUUGGAAAGUUUCGGCGGUUGGGGAUGGACUCGCGGCUUAUCAGCUUGUUGGUGGGGUAGUGGCUUACCAAGGCUUUGACGGGUAGCCGGCCUGAGAGGGUGACCGGCCACAUUGGGACUGAGAUACGGCCCAGACUCCUACGGGAGGCAGCAGUGGGGAAUAUUGCACAAUGGGCAGAAGCCUGAUGCAGCAACGCCGCGUGCGGGAUGACGGCCUUCGGGUUGUAAACCGCUUUCGCCUGUGACGAAGCGUGAGUGACGGUAAUGGGUAAAGAAGCACCGGCUAACUACGUG